AAAGUGGGGACAACCUCUCAAUUAUCCCUAAAGAACAUCAUCGCAUUGGGUGAAUGGACCGCCUCGCACUCCUCACCAACACCUUCCCUGUUUUGAGUACUGAGCUAAGGCUGCGUGACCGUAGUGCAACAGCCAAACAGCCUACUUCUACGAAAGUUCAAGACAGACCAAUCUGCUGGAUGCGAUCACCGCUAUGUUUAUGCCAACGAGCAUGGAGAUCGUUUGUGAGCGCAGACAAAAUUGUAUAUGUCAAAAGAGUUGUGGAGUUUCUGACGAGCUUGGCUCCAUUAACGACAUUUGCAAUCAUAUUCUUUCUGUGUUAUUAUUCACAUCAGCUACUGGAAGCUAACAAUACAAAUACAGUUGUGGUUUAUAUCUUCUGUAUUGAGUUGUUUGGCAAUUGGCUCUUAUUUUUCUUCAACAAAAGUUAUAUUGAUAAGUCAUCAGGAAACAGUGAACUAGCGCCUGGUUUAUCUCACGAUGACUGCAAACAACUGCGAUAUUGUCCGACUUGUAAGAUUUAUAAGCCAGAGAGAAGCCAUCACUGCUCUCUGUGCGAUCGCUGUAUCCACCAGAGAGAUCAUCAUUGCUUCUUCCUUGGCACAUGUGUGGGAGGCUACAACUUGUGUUACUUUAUAUUCUUCUGUUUUUAUGCUUGCAUUGGGUGCAUAUAUGCGGCAGUUUUACUUCAUGGAUACUACUCAGGGACAUACCUAAGAACAUUUUGGUCCUCUCAAUUUCUCUACUACUUUUACCCUGUGACGUUAAUUAUGUGGAUGUGUGGAAAAGCUGACUUAGCUGAGGUUGGAUGGGUCACAUUGCUAUACAUAGCUUCAGCGACAGUAGUUUUUACUGGCUUCUGUGUCAUACAACAGUUGAUCUAUGUUUUAAGAGGUCAGACUGCCUAUGAAUAUAACAAGGGUCUACUCAUGGUGCACCGGUCAGCUUUCCACAAUUUUCUGCAUGUGUUUGGCCGCUACUGGAUCCUGCACCUCCUCAUCCCCUUUCCACGUCGUCGCACUAUCACUGAUCCAAGGAGUUUUCUCAAAAUUGUUUGAAACUUUGGAUAAUGCACUCUGUUCUGUUUUAGUUUCGGAUAAAAGGAUGCAAAGUAAUGUUAUUUGUUCUUGAGCAUUUUUGUAAGGGAUUUUACAUAUACAUAACACAUUCACAUGUACAAAGACACUUAUAAGUAAUCAUAGCUGCAUAUAUAGACACACAUAUACAAGCACAUCAGUACAAACACAUGAACAUACAGAUAUACAUAGAUGUGUACUACAGGUAUACCUAGAAAUGUUUGUUAACAAGUAUGAUCCUGAUUAGUUUUAGUUAUGUAAUUAUGAUUAGAUGUACAAUCAUAAUUGAUAACUUGUCCAGUUUGUCAAACUAGCUUUUUAUUCAUAACAAUUCGCUACUGUUGAUUGAAAAUACAGAUUGUGCUUGCAAAAAAGCUAGGUUGACAAUGUGGUGUCUGAAAUGUAUUCCUUAUAUUUUUUUUUUAUAAUAUUGCUUUUUGUUAUAAGUGUUGUAGUUCACUGUUUAGAGGCUAUAAUAAGCAAUACUUUGAUAAUCAGUAAAUUGUAAUAUUUGUAUUAUUUAUGUUCUUUUAUGCACAUGUUCACAGUAUGAUGGAAACAAAAUAUGAUAGUGUUGUGUAUAUCAAUUUCAUACAUAUCAUUUGGAUUUAAACAUGUAUAUACAUUUAUGAUAAAUGACAUGACAGAUUGUCAAAAUAUUUUGGAUUAAGGUUAACUGUAAGAUUUCUCACACACAAACACACACAGACACUCGCACUCAUACCCACACCCACACCCACACCCACACCCACACCCACACCCAUAUCCACACCCAUACCCAUACCCAGUCACACCCACACCCACACUCACACCAUCACCCACACCCACACUCUCACUCACACUCUCACUCUCACUCACACUCACACUCACACUCACACUCACACUCACACUCACACAGUCUGCAGAUUUAUUGCACAAUUGUUGAUUUUUCAUAGAUGAUUAUUAUAAUGAGAUAAUCAGGAAUAUUAAGCUUGCCUACCUACCAGGAUCCAGUUCCUAGUGACAUGAAAAUGUUUGCUUUUUAUUGAUAUAUGACUGGCAGAUGUAUUGAAUUUGAGAAUGUUUUAUUCUUUCUAGUCAUAUAGUGUGAUUUUUCCAAGAUAUACAGUAUAUCCUAACUUCAGUAUUAUAGGUUGAGAAUCCCAUAUCUAACAUACUGAGAAUAUUUUUUUUCAGCACUCAGUAAAGCCAGAAGUACAAACAUUUUUGUCCUUGAAUAUUAUUCUUGUUAUCUUCUUCAAUUUUUUCUUUGUCUCUCUAUAUUACUGUUUAUUAUUCAUACAUGUAUUUAUUGGGCAUGGUGAAUAACGUUUCAACCUAGAAAAGAUGAAAAAAAUAAAUUUACGUUAGACUUAGGAUUCUCAGUCCAUGUCAGAUUUUGCUGGAUGACUUCACUUCUUGUGACCUGUUUAAUGGUGUUGUGUUUUUGUAGAUAUAUGUGUAUUUACUUAUAUAAAAGUAUAUGUGUUUGUAUAUGCACAUUGUGUAUUUCGGUAUCUUUUUAUUGCUAAAGUAAAAUUUAUUUGUAAUUUUAUAGCAUGAUCAAAAUGUUUGUUAGUGGUGGCCAGUCAGGUAAAAAAUUGUAUAAUUUUUUUUUUUCUCUUUUGAUUCUAUAUAUUAUUUGCUCUACAAUAAGUAUGAAUUUAUGUAAAACAAAUAUGAAUAUAAGAAGUACACUCACAAGAAUCUGAAAUAUGAUAUGAUUGAGUGAAAGUACUGUACCAGGCUGCAUUGUGCUAUAAUUUUGUAUUGAAAAGCAUAGCUCAUGAAAUUCAUACCAUUAUGAUAUUGCAAGAUAAAAGUAGAAUUGGAAAUUAAAUUGCACUAACUUAUUUUGUAUUUAUAUGUGAGAUUAGUAUCAUUUUUUAAAAAAAGGACCACUCCUGAACAUCAUCUGCAUCUGUGGUUCAUCUUAAGUGCAAAAAGAAAAAAAAAAUAUAUAUAUGUUACUUACAAUCUCACUUAUUAAGAGAGCUGUUAAACCAUUGCGGAUGGAUGUCGUGACAUACAUGACAUAGGAGCUUUGGCCUGACGACAGGCGACGUGGCACAUAUGACGUUCGGGGAUUUUGGAUCACAGUGCCAUUCUAUUGUGCUAUGAGUAAGGAGUGAGUGUUGGUGACUAUUGCAGUCAUAAUUGUUAUAAUUACUGUAAUAAGUAAACCUAACACCCAAAGCCCAGAUGGCACCACUUUCUUUUAGCACCAGCAGGAGAGAGAGCCUGGAAUGGCACCCAUCCACAGUCUCUAGCAAGCACUAUCUUUAGAGAACGAUGGCACACAGCAAGUUACUGACCUCAUGCUCUAAAGUACUGCUGAUGAAGAAUGUGCAGGCAGAACAAGAAGAGGAAGGGUACUCAAACCAUGCCCAGUGUCUAAAAUGUGCCCCUAUUCCAGUAGGUAUGCCAUUUACUGUGUCACUCCCAAUUGUAAGCAGAGGUUUUCUUCCUCUUCCCUACCUCUUCAUGUUAUCUUCAUUGUAGAUGGUUAUAUGUUUCGUAUUCGUUCAUGAUAGUACACGAAUAUGAAAAAAUAAAAUUGUUUUUUGUCCUCACAUAAAACAGCUUUACUUCUAUCACAAUGAGUAUAAAGAAAAUAAUGAGCUGAUAUGGAUCCUAUUUUACAAUUUUAGUCAACUGCAUUAUUGAUAAAGCCUGUCAUAUGACAGUUGGAAGUCUCUAAACACAAAAAAAAACUAGUUUUAUCAAGGCAAAGUCAAUGUAUGUUGCUUCACGCUGCCUUCCUCUGAAAUAAAACCCAUCCUGGAGAUUGGGUUAGCAAAUCUAUCCCCUGUCUGCAAUGGGUUAAUAAUGCCAUAUGUAAUUUGAAUAAUGAUGUUUUGUAACUCUAGUUUUAUCAAGGCAAAGUCAAUGUAUGUUGCUUCACGCUGCCUUCCUCUGAAAUAAAACCCAUCCUGGA
rnacentral:misc_RNA from 1 species